rnacentral:tRNA from 1 species
UGUAGCUCAGUUACAGAGUGCUUGUCUAGCAUGCAUGAGGCCCUGGGUUCAAUUCCCGGCA